CUGCAGUCGAGCGGAAGGCCCCUUCGGGGGUACUCGAGCGGCGAACGGGUGAGUAACACGUGAGUAAUCUGCCCCUCACUUUGGGAUAACUACCGGAAACGGUGGCUAAUACCGAAUACGACGCCUCCACGCAUGUGGUGGGUGUGGAAAGUUUUUCGGUGGGGGAUGUGCUCGCGGCCUAUCAGCUUGUUGGUGAGGUAAUGGCUCACCAAGGCUUCGACGGGUAGCCGGCCUGAGAGGGUGACCGGCCACACUGGGACUGAGACACGGCCCAGACUCCUACGGGAGGCAGCAGUGGGGAAUAUUGGACAAUGGGCGGAAGCCUGAUCCAGCAACGCCGCGUGAGGGAUGACGGCCUUCGGGUUGUAAACCUCUUUCACCUGUGACGAAGCGAAAGUGACGGUAGCAGGAGAAGAAGCACCGGCCAACUACGUGCCAGCAGCCGCGGUAAUACGUAGGGUGCGAGCGUUGUCCGGAAUUAUUGGGCGUAAAGGGCUCGUAGGCGGUUUGUCGCGUCGGGAGUGAAAAUCCAGGGCUUAACUCUGGACUGGCUUUCGAUACGGGCAGACUAGAGGUAUGCAGGGGAGAACGGAAUUCCUGGUGUAGCGGUGAAAUGCGCAGAUAUCAGGAGGAACACCGGUGGCGAAGGCGGUUCUCUGGGCAUUACCUGACGCUGAGGAGCGAAAGUGUGGGGAGCGAACAGGAUUAGAUACCCUGGUAGUCCACACCGUAAACGUUGGGCGCUAGGUGUGGGGUCCAUUCCACGGAUUCCGUGCCGCAGCUAACGCAUUAAGCGCCCCGCCU
rnacentral:rRNA from 1 species